rnacentral:rRNA from 1 species
AUACGGAGGGUGCAAGCGUUACUCGGAAUCACUGGGCGUAAAGCGCGCGCAGGCGGCUAUUUAAGUUGGAUGUGAAAGCCUACGGCUCAACCGUAGAACUGCAUCCAAAACUAUUUAGCUAGAGUGUGGGAGAGGAAGAUGGAAUUAGUUGUGUAGGGGUAAAAUCCGUAGAGAUAACUAGGAAUACCAAAAGCGAAGGCAAUCUUCUGGAACACUACUGACGCUGAGGCGCGAAAGCAUGGGGAGCAAACAGGAUUAGAAACCCCGGUAGUCC